UACGUAGGUCCCGAGCGUUGUCCGGAUUUAUUGGGCGUAAAGCGAGCGCAGGCGGUUUGAUAAGUCAGAAGUAAAAGGCUGUGGCUCAACCAUAGUACGCUUUUGAAACUGUCAAACUUGAGUGCAGAAGGGGGGAGUGGAAUUCCAUGUGUAGCGGUGAAAUGCGUAGAUAUAUGGAGGAACACCAGUGGCGAAAGCGGCUCUUUGGCUCGCAACUGACGCUGAGGCGCGAAAGCGUGGGGAGCAAACAGG
rnacentral:rRNA from 1 species